UACAGAGGGGGCAAGCGUUAUUCGGAAUUAUUGGGCGUAAAGGGCGCGUAGGCGGCCUGGCAAGUGGAAGGUGAAAUCCCUCGGCUUAACCGAGGAACUGCCCUCCAAACUGCUUGGCUUGAGUCCGGGAGAGGUGAGUGGAAUUCCCAGUGUAGCGGUGAAAUGCGUAGAUAUUGGGAGGAACACCAGUGGCGAAGGCGGCUCACUGGACCGGAACUGACGCUGAGGCACGAAAGCGUGGGGAGCGAACAGG
rnacentral:rRNA from 1 species